GGGGCAGUAGCUCAGCUGGGAGAGCGUCGCGUUCGCAAUGCGAAGGUCAGGGGUUCGAUCCCCCUCUGCUCCA
rnacentral:tRNA from 1 species